AUACGUAGGGUGCAAGCGUUAAUCGGAAUUACUGGGCGUAAAGCGUGCGCAGGCGGUUUUGUAAGACAGUGGUGAAAUCCCCGGGCUCAACCUGGGGACUGCCAUUGUGACUGCAAGGCUGGAGUGCGGAAGAGGGGGAUGGCAUCACGCGGGUAGCAGUGAGAUGCGUAGAUAUGCGGAGGAACACCGAUGGCGAAGGCAAUCCCCUGGGCCUGCACUGACGCUCAUGCACGAAAGCGUGGGGAGCAAACAGGAUUAGAUACCCUGGUAGUCCACGCCCUAAACGAUGUCAACUGGUUGUUGGGGAUUUAUUUUCUCAGUAACGAAGCUAACGCGUGAAGUUGACCGCCUGGGGAGUACGGCCGCAAGGUUAAAACUCAAAGGAAUUGACGGGG
rnacentral:rRNA from 1 species